GAGUGAAAGAGAACUUGAAACCGUGUGCUUACAAGUAGUCAGAGCCCGUUAAUGGGUGAUGGCGUGCCUUUUGUAGAAUGAACCGGCGAGUUACGAUCUGAUGCAAGGUUAAGCAGAAAAUGUGGAGCCGUAGCGAAAGCGAGUCUGAAUAGGGCGAAUGAGUAUUUGGUCGUAGACCCGAAACCAGGUGAUCUACCCUUGGUCAGGUUGAAGUUCAGGUAACACUGAAUGGAGGACCGAACCGACUUACGUUGAAAAGUGAGCGGAUGAACUGAGGGUAGCGGAGAAAUUCCAAUCGAACUUGGAGAUAGCUGGUUCUCUCCGAAAUAGCUUUAGGGCUAGCCUCAAGUGAUGAUUAUUGGAGGUAGAGCACUGUUUGGACGAGGGGCCCCUCUCGGGUUACCGAAUUCAGACAAACUCCGAAUGCCAAAUAAUUUAACUUGGGAGUCAGAAUGUGGGUGAUAAGGUCCAUAUUCGAAAGGGAAACAGCCCAGACCACCAGCUAAGGUCCCAAAAUAUAUGUUAAGUGGAAAAGGAUGUGGCGUUGCCCAGACAACUAGGAUGUUGGCUUAGAAGCAGCCAUCAUUUAAAGAGUGCGUAAUAGCUCACUAGUCGAGUGACACUGCGCCGAAAAUGUACCGGGGCUAAACAUAU
rnacentral:rRNA from 1 species